rnacentral:lncRNA from 1 species
UGGGCUUUAAGGAAACGAACCGGGUCGCGGGUCAUGGGUCAUGGGCGACCCGGUUUGGGGAUAUAUAAGGGUUGUAGGGGUUUUUUUCUUUCAUUUUUCAUUUCUCUUUCUCUCUCUUAUCCCUCAAAUCCUCUCUUCUCUCUCUACUUCUUUCUUCUUCUCCGGUGGAGGUGAGGGGCGGCCGGGAGAAUUCCGGCGCGGUGGCCGGCGAGCCAUCGCGGCUGCGCCGCCGCGCCGGAGCUAAAAGCUCCUCUUUUUUUUGAUUUUUUUUUGGUUUUAAGACCGGCUCUCUCUCCUAAUCUCGUUUCUUCACUCACAACACUUGAAUACUACCCCUAAAUUUCUAGAUCUACAAAAAAAAAACGCGAAAAUUACCUCCUUUGCGCGUGUGUCGCUUCCGUACGCUUGCUGUUUGGCUUUGUCGUGAUGUUUUGUCACCGCUUGCGUGUGCGACUGUGAUCUGGAAAUCGUGUUUGUAUCGCGAUUCGGAUUGCCUUUGUGCGGUUCUGGCUCCUUCUCUGUGCGCCCCCGUUCUGCUUCUUGUGCGCGUGUUUUGUUGUGUUGCUGCGUGUUGACGCUGUGUGUAUGUGUUUGUGCGAUGCCGUGUUCUGUUGCUCUUGCUUCUGCGUUUUUUCGCGUGUUCUGCUGUGCUCUGUUGUUCUGUUGUUUUUUCUGUCUUUUUCUUUGUUGUGCAGGUCUCUAUUUAUAGAGUGAGUUUGAGGCUAGGAUUUGUUACUGAUGAGCAAAAAAUCAGUAGUUUGUGGAGGAGAAAAAGGGAAAUGCGUCUGUUUUUUUACUGGAUUUGUUUCAGAUGAGGCAGUGUGAACUGGAUUUGGACUGGAAUGGAAAAGGAACAGAACGUGCAUAAGGAUUGAGAUGAGAGACUGUUUAUCUGAAUUUGGACUAUUUUGUUGGACUUAUCUCUGGACAAUUUUGGGACUUUAAUUAAAAAGAAAAAAUUAAUAAUAAAAGGAUAAUGUCUAUAUUUUUGGUUUUAAAAAGGAUAAAAAGGAAAAUUUAAAAUGGGAAUAAAAGAAAUUUAAUCUAAAUUGGACUAAAAUUAAAAUUAGAGUUCUAAAUUAAAAAUUUAAAAGAUGGAAAUAAAUAAUUAAAGACUGAGAGAAGAGGGCCCGAUUCGGAACUUUAUGAGGUAUUUCAAAAUACCUCCCUGCCGAAUUUUUUUACUGAAAUGUGAGUCUUGGUCCGAGUU